GUUUGACUUUUCGUCUUAUUCAAAAAAAUUUUACGAUUAAUAAUUUUAUUUUUAUUAAAUGAUAAACAUGAAUAGUAUUUUAUGUGUGGCUAAUUUUUUUAAAAAAUCUUAAAAAUUAUUCAAAUAAGAUGUAUAGUCAAAC
rnacentral:pre_miRNA from 1 species